UGGCUCAGGACGAACGCUGGCGGCGUGCCUAAUACAUGCAAGUCGAGCGGACCGACGGGAGCUUGCUCCCUUAGGUCAGCGGCGGACGGGUGAGUAACACGUGGGUAACCUGCCUGUAAGACUGGGAUAACUCCGGGAAACCGGGGCUAAUACCGGAUGCUUGAUUGAACCGCAUGGUUCAAUUAUAAAAGGUGGCUUUUAGCUACCACUUACAGAUGGACCCGCGGCGCAUUAGCUAGUUGGUGAGGUAACGGCUCACCAAGGCAACGAUGCGUAGCCGACCUGAGAGGGUGAUCGGCCACACUGGGACUGAGACACGGCCCAGACUCCUACGGGAGGCAGCAGUAGGGAAUCUUCCGCAAUGGACGAAAGUCUGACGGAGCAACGCCGCGUGAGUGAUGAAGGUUUUCGGAUCGUAAAACUCUGUUGUUAGGGAAGAACAAGUACCGUUCGAAUAGGGCGGUACCUUGACGGUACCUAACCAGAAAGCCACGGCUAACUACGUGCCAGCAGCCGCGGUAAUACGUAGGUGGCAAGCGUUGUCCGGAAUUAUUGGGCGUAAAGCGCGCGCAGGCGGUUUCUUAAGUCUGAUGUGAAAGCCCCCGGCUCAACCGGGGGAGGGUCAUUGGAAACUGGGGAACUUGAGUGCAGAAGAGGAGAGUGGAAUUCCACGUGUAGCGGUGAAAUGCGUAUAGAUGUGGAGGAACACCAGUGGCGAAGGCGACUCUCUGGUCUGUAACUGACGCUGAGGCGCGAAAGCGUGGGGAGCGAACAGGAUUAGAUACCCUGGUAGUCCACGC
rnacentral:rRNA from 1 species